UACGAAGGGUGCAAGCGUUAAUCGGAAUUACUGGGCGUAAAGGGUGCGUAGGCGGUUCGUUAAGUCUGUUGUGAAAUCCCCGGGCUCAACCUGGGAAUGGCAAUGGAUACUGGCGGGCUAGAGUGUGUCAGAGGGUGGUGGAAUUCCCGGUGUAGCGGUGAAAUGCGUAGAGAUCGGGAGGAACAUCAGUGGCGAAGGCGGCCAUCUGGGACAACACUGACGCUGAAGCACGAAAGCGUGGGGAGCAAACAGG
rnacentral:rRNA from 1 species